UGCAAGGGCACUCUGUGUCACAUUGAUUAUUUUACCACAAGUGGAACAAUUUGUAACCUUGCUAGACAAAAAUUGGGUCAUUUGAAACUUCAUAUUUCUAAUUUUAUUGUGAAUUUGAAAUUGUUUUCAAAUAUCAC